AUUGUGCAUAUGCUAUUUCAUGUAUGUACAAUUACAUAGAUGUAGUGGUGCCACAGAGAGAAGGCACAUUGGAGACAACAACCUGAGUUUGGAACCAUGAACUACAUGAUGUUUAGCUGUGUCGCUUA